AAAUUUUGAAAAUAAAAUAAAUGACUUUAGUAGCUACCAUUUGGGCAAAGCCAAAAUUUUAAAAAUUCUAAAAGUAUAAGUACUGAAAAUGACCAAAUUGAAAUAUAGGGACUAAAUCCAUAAUUUAAGCAUAAUAUAGGGACUAAUAGCAGAAUUUAUCCUAUAAAUUUUCUGUGGCGUAGGGAAGUGGAGACUUUUGGUUGGAAUUGGAAGACUUGAUGAGCCGCCACGCCAUUGCUAUCUGGUUCCCAGUUUCCUGGCUCCUUCCAAGUAAUUAUGUGAAUUAAUAAAUUACAUGACUAACUUAUUCAUAAAAGUCAACAAUUUAAUUUUGAAAUAAGUAAUUUUAUAAAGAAUUAGAUGAUCUCACAUGGUGAAAAAAUCUGGCACCAGGACAUGAGGAUGCAGCUUCAAGGGUUACCCCACCGGAGCAGAAAGGAUAGACGAGGAGUGUGGCCAGAAGGAAUGGACGUAGCUUCCCUCAUCCAUAUGGCCAGAAGGAUGCAACUUCAAGUUGCCAAAGGAAACAUAUCGGGAAUGGAGGAUCUGCAUUAAUGUAAGAGCUAUAUGAGGAACACGAGAGCCUCUGAUACCCUCAAGUGCAAGUUGUUUCCCCUCAUCCAUAUGCAUAGAGACACAUUGGCACUUAAUUUUUAUCUCAAUUUGUGACUGCAAAUACAUGACUGGAAGUCAUCAACUCCUCCAUGUCUGCAUAGCAGUGGUAUAGUUUCUUCGACUAAUGUUGGUAGGAUACUCCAAUUGUGAAAGUGUGUUACAUUGGCAGUGUCGUGAAAGCCUUUCAACAAAUUGGAAUUGGACAAGCAGCAAGUAAAGAAGGCUACUAAUCAAAGCAAUGAGGUGAAAGGGUCGAUCAUGCUUCUAGCCACUCUUGGGAAGGAGAACCAAGCAUCAGCGUACAUUGCUAUUUUUAGGCGUCCACUGCUCAAAGCCUCAAAGUGGCCCUAACAACCUUCUGCAUGCAGACAAAAUUCCUCACCUCAAAAAGGGAACCAGAAGGAUAGAGGCAGAUAAGCAUGUAGCAAGGCAGUGCCACAUGGUGUCAUUACAAAUGGCAUGAACCCAAGCAAACAAGGAACCAUUUGGUGCCCCAUAAAUUUAUGGCUUAAAAUGAUUUACUUAUCAAAAUUAUUUUGAUUCUCA
rnacentral:lncRNA from 1 species